UACGAAGGGGGCUAGCGUUGUUCGGAAUUACUGGGCGUAAAGCGCGCGUAGGCGGUUCUGCAAGUCGGGGGUGAAAUCCCGAGGCUCAACCUCGGAACUGCCUUCGAUACUGCGGGUCUCGAGUCCGGGAGAGGUGAGUGGAAUUCCUAGUGUAGAGGUGAAAUUCGUAGAUAUUAGGAAGAACACCAGUGGCGAAGGCGGCUCACUGGCCCGGUACUGACGCUGAGGCGCGAAAGCGUGGGGAGCAAACAGG
rnacentral:rRNA from 1 species